UGCAAUCCUAGUAUGUUUAUCAUUCAUUAGAACAAUUCAACUUUCAUUUAAACACAAUUGUAUUUAGUUAGUUAAAUCACUUAUAAUUGCAUACGUAAUUUAGUUUAGUUAUAAUUUGCAUCACAACAAACAUCCUUAUUUUUAUUGUUUCGGUUAACGUCAUGGUAAUAGAAAUUGAACUAAAUCAAUUCCUGUGGGACGAUACUUGGACUCAACAUCCA
rnacentral:lncRNA from 1 species